rnacentral:rRNA from 1 species
GAGUUUGAUCGUGGCUCAGAUUGAACGCUGGCGGCAUGCCUUACACAUGCAAGUCGAACGGCAGCACGGGAGCUUGCUCCUGGUGGCGAGUGGCGAACGGGUGAGUAAUGCAUCGGAACGUAUCCUGGAGUGGGGGAUAACGUAGCGAAAGUUACGCUAAUACCGCAUAUUCUGUGAGCAGGAAAGCGGGGGACCUUCGGGCCUCGCGCUCUUGGAGCGGCCGAUGUCGGAUUAGCUAGUUGGUGAGGUAAAGGCUCACCAAGGCGACGAUCCGUAGCAGGUCUGAGAGGAUGAUCUGCCACACUGGAACUGAGACACGGUCCAGACUCCUACGGGAGGCAGCAGUGGGAAUAUUGGACAAUGGGCGAAAGCCUGAUCCAGCCAUGCCGCGUGUGUGAAGAAGGUCUUCGGAUUGUAAAGCACUUUAAGUUGGGAGGAAGGGCAGUAAGUUAAUACCUUGCUGUUUGACGUUACCGACAGAAUAAGCACCGGCUAACU